rnacentral:rRNA from 1 species
AGAGUUUGAUCAUGGCUCAGGAUGAACGCUGGCGGCGUGCUUAACACAUGCAAGUCGAACGAGGUCCAUGGAGCUUGCUCCGGAAGGCCUAGUGGCGAACGGGUGCGUAACACGUGAGAAACCUGCCCCGAUCUCUGGGAUAACAGUUGGAAACGACUGCUAAUACCGGAUGCCGUCACACCGCUUCAUGGCGGAGUGCCGAAAGAUUUAUCGGAUCGGGAGGGUCUCGCGGCCUAUCAGCUAGUUGGAGAGGUAACGGCUCACCAAGGCAUCGACGGGUAGCUGGUCUGAGAGGAUGAUCAGCCACACUGGGACUGAGACACGGCCCAGACUCCUACGGGAGGCAGCAGUGGGGAAUCUUGCACAAUGGGCGAAAGCCUGAUGCAGCAACGCCGCGUGCGGGAAGAAGGCCCUAGGGUUGUAAACCGCUUUCAGUAGGGAAGAAAAUGACGGUACCUACAGAAGAAGGUGCGGCCAACUACGUGCCAGCAGCCGCGGUGACACGUAGGCACCAAGCGUUAUCCGGAUUUAUUGGGCGUAAAGAGCUCGUAGGCGGUUUGGUAAGUCGGGUGUGAAAACUCUGGGCUCAACCCAGAGAGGCCACCCGAUACUGCUAUGACUAGAGUACGGUAGGGGAGCGGGGAAUUCAUGGUGUAGCGGUGAAAUGCGCAGAUAUCAUGAGGAACACCAGCGGCGAAGGCGCCGCUCUGGGCCGUAACUGACGCUGAGGAGCGAAAGCAUGGGUAGCAAACAGGAUUAGAUACCCUGGUAGUCCAUGCCGUAAACGUUGGGCACUAGGUGUGGGUCUCAACCAACGAGAUCCGCGCCGUCGCUAACGCAUUAAGUGCCCCGCCUGGGGAGUACGGUCGCAAGACUAAAACUCAAAGGAAUUGACGG